ACUUCCUUAACUGUAGAGUUCUC
rnacentral:snRNA from 1 species